GGCGGGAUCCCGGGCGGGAGACAGAGGUUAGGCCGCGGGCGGAGGCCAGAGACAGUGUCCGGGCCAGAAGGUGUCCGGGCGGCCCGGAAGACGCGAGGUGGGACCACACGCUGCCCGUGGAGACGGGAGUGGGUUUGCCCCCUUCUCCGGGUGGAGGGCGUGUUGCGGGCCACCCACCGAAACUCUUGCACCCACCUAAUCUCUGCUCCAGGAUUCGGCUCAAUCGCGGGAGCCAGCGCCACAGUGGUCGAGUCUGAGAACCUAAAUCAUCCUGGCCCCCUCUCCCCUGUCUCUUUAAGCCAUUUGUCAAGCCUCUCUGUCCAGACCCCGUUCCAUCUCUUGCUUCAGCAUCUUAGUUCAACCACCCGAGUUCAUAUAGCUGCCUAACUCGUUCAUUUCUUUCUCUUUCUUGUUUUUCUUUUCUUUUUUUGCUGUUCCCCUGAAAUAGGCUAGAGGAGUUCCCAGUUCAUCUUCACAUAGUCUGUCUCAUGUUACAGUGGAGGAGGAGGAGGACAUACCAACUAAACAGAUGUGUGUAGGUAGUGAAAGGCCAGUGUUGAGAGGGGCAAGGCGGCCAGAAAAGUCAUUUUACCUCACCGGUCUAACCGGAACUGAGGAGUGGAAGAAGCCAGUCUUAUUCUGCAACCAGUGUUUUCACACCUGCUUAGAAUGUGCAUAUAACUUCCCCAAUACCCUUCCUUCCAGACAGUGCCAUAGCGCCCACAGAUUGGAGCUGGUAUUUCAUAACGAAUUAAAGGAAGCGCUUCAUUAAAUCAGGCGUUUGUGUUUUUCCAUGAGGGUGUUCCUGUGAGGCAUUCUCUUCCAGCCGUACUGAAUACCUUCAAGGCAGCUUCAUUUGGGUUCCUGCAAGCCUUUGCACAUUGUUCCCUCUGAUUGGAAGUACCUUUCUCCGUGUUUCCCCCCACGUACCCAAAUGGCCAGUCUUUUGGAUCUCAGAAUGUAGGCAGCUGUUCCCGGGCAGUCUCUCCUGCCUCAGACAAGGUUGGAAGUCCCUCCCCCUGGUUCUUAUUUUUGACAUAGUGUUACAGUAAAUUUUUGGUUUACCUGGCCUUGUCUCUUAGACUAAGCUUUUGGAAACCGGAGACUUUGUCUCUGUAACUUUAUCAGUUUUUCAAGGUAAGCAGGCAAUAUACUUAUUUACUCCUAUUUACAGGUGGGAAAAGCGUGACUCAUUUGAGCAGACCCUAGAAAACAGUAUGCGUUUUAGCGGCCUUUAUCAUACAUGGAAGUUUUCUUAGUAUAAAACUUGUAUACAUUUAUGUGAGUGUGUGUGUUUAUUUUGAGGUGGGCUAUCCGAGCUCUGCCUGCCUCUGACCCCAGUGCUGGUGAAAGGCAUGUGUCACCACGCCCACCCCAAGUAGACCUCAAGUGUGGCUCUGAAUUUCCAGAGUGACUUGUCAGUUUGUCCAGAGAUGACUCAGCGGCCACAGCAGGUUGUGUGUGGAAGCAUGUGAGACCUUUUGGAGGAGGCACAAGAACAGAUACGUGCACUGGUGGGAAGGACUGACUUCCUAGGUUUCCAGCCUUCUUGUGUGGGGCAGUGAGCUGUCAUUUGCUGGAGGAGUUUGUUUUGAAGGGGUUAGCUUACAGUUAACUCACAGUAUAAGACUUUCAGUAGCUGAGAAGAGAGGUGUUGAAAAGAGCUAAAAUUUGAAAACUAUCCCUUCUUGAUUUGUGAGCACAUUUGACUCAGUUAAGAGCUGGGAAGGAACGGUGUAUGGUGUAAAAUAAUCAAGCCUACGUUUCUCAUGAGAUCAUUACUUUGGGACUUUGAGAAUAAAAAUGUUCCGUGAUUUCAUUGGUGUGAAACAAAAACCCUGGUUCCCAUUUAGAAGGUCUGAGAAAGAAUGAUUUAAAACAAAUCUUGGGGGCCGAUGAUCAUAACUGUAAGGCAGGCUGAUCCCAAACAGGAGGACCCCCAACUUGGGCCCAACACUGGCUAUAAAAACCCAAAAGCGGAGUAGGGGACCUCUGGGAAUUGAAGUGUGGUGAACUUGCAUAGUGUGUAGACUUCCUGGUUCAAUGGAAUGUGUAUUUGUAUGAUCUACUGGUAUUGAUUUUUCAGAAGUCUGUCAAUACAACUUUGAAGAUAUUUGCCAAAAGGCAGUGGUUGUCUUGUCUUAGUGACUGGUUCAGGGAGCUGUGGAAGUUGGAAAUGAUGAGUUAUGAAAUUACCUUGCAGUUUCUGCAUAAUGGUUGGGCCAUGGAUGUCUUUGAUAGAGUCUUGAUUUGGGAAAGGUCUUCAGCUUUAAAUGUAGCCCAUGUAGCUGAUGGGGGAGAACAGGAGAAGAGAGCUGAAAUAAGUACUGUAUUUAAGUGUAGAGUUGCAGAAAUAAUCCUUGGGGAGUGUAGGGAAAGACUGUUUCAGACUUGUCAGACAGUGCUGAUGUCACAGAGUCAUCAUUACAGGUCCAGAAUUCUCCUGAUUCUGUCCACUUGUGUAGAGUGGGCCUUAGACAGUUGAUAAUACAGUGAUCUCUAACAACGCUUGAUUUUUACAAAGAUGCAUGCUGUCUUUCGCUAUAAAUCACUUAACCUAUUUAAGCUAAUUUAGAAUUCUCUGUUGGUGAAACUUGGCACGGUGGCAUACACCUGUAGUCCUAGCGCAUGGGAGACAGAGGCAGGCAGAUCUCUGUGAGUUCCAGGCCCACCUGGUCUGUGAAUAGAUCUCUCUCUCUCUCUCCCUCUCUCUCUCUCUCUCUCUCUCUUCCCCCUAGAUUUCAAAGCAGAGACUGUUGACUCUUGGCUGAAUUUAUAUUCUGACAACUUGGAGACUUUGCAAAUUCAUGUUAAACUGCUGUCUUCCAGAGACCCGAACCCCUGCUUCUCUUCCUUCCCAGCUGUGUGUGUGUGUGUGUGUGUGUGCGCGCUCUGACAUAGCACUUAGCAUUUUCCCCAGUUCCCUGUUCUCUUCCCUCCCAGCUGUGUGUGUGUGUGUGCGUGUGUGUGCUCUGACAUAGCACUUAGCAUUCUUUCCAGUCCUGGCUUUGCCUCUGCCACAGCCCUGGUGACUGUUUCCAGUAUUACGUCAUCUCUUUCCUCAGCUACAUUUAGGUGAUGUUCCCUGAGCGCGUUAGUUUCCAGCAGACUCCUAAGACCUGCAGUUGUUCAGUGACACAGCUAGCUGUUGACUAUUGGGAUGAGGAAGAGCUCCCCAGACGGCUGUCACCCAUCUUCUGUUACCAGGUUGUUAAGAGUUGAGAUUGAGAGACUGUGCUGUGACAUUCCACAGCAUGUCUUUGUUUUCACAGGUUCCCUUUGGAGU